rnacentral:rRNA from 1 species
AAAGCUUGCUUUUGUUAGAUGGCGACCGGCGCACGGGUGAGUAACGCGUAUCCAACCUGCCAUAUACAGAGGGAUAGCCUUGCGAAAGUAAGAUUAAUACCUCAUGGUUUAUGUUUGCCGCAUGGCAGAUAUAAUAAAGAUUUAUCGGUAUAUGAUGGGGAUGCGUCCCAUUAGAUAGUCGGCGGGGUAACGGCCCACCGAGUCGACGAUCAGUAGCCGGACUGAGAGGUUGACCGGCCACAUUGGGACUGAGAUACGGCCCAGACUCC